CAGAUUACAUUUUUACAUUGAUCACUGGAGCAAGCAUGGAGUGGAAGCUACUUUACAACAUGCACAGGGACCAUGGGGAACAAAAAAAGCCAC